CUUCUCUCCCUACACUACCGACUAUUCCAACUCUUCCAACCAUGCCUACUACGAUCCCGAAGGUGGCACUUCCUCCUUUGCCUGCAUCAUUCCCUACCAUUCCAAACAUUAACAUUCCUACGACAUUCCCAUCUAUUCCUUUCUUCAGCCCACCACCAUCCACCAACAGCCCUUGAGAUGGGAACAACCACAAUAAGUACUUGUUUAUAUUUGGUUUUAUGUUAUAUUUGGCUUCAGAACUUGUGAAGCUUCUUGUGGUUUCAUGAUAUGUCUGUUGUCACAGUGUUGCCUCUGUAUCUUUGGUUGUAAUAUUCCUACUGGAUCACUAUUUGUUUGUAUUUUAUUAUGAAUAUGAUUUAUUAUCUUUCAU
rnacentral:lncRNA from 1 species